UCAACCUUCGUAACUGAAAUACAAAAAUGCCAACAACUAAACUACAUUGCUGCUACAACCAAAGAAUGUGCAUAAUAGAGCUGCAGCUUUCCACUCUUCUCCAGCAUUUGAGGGAAACUGUUAUUUCUCCCACCAAUAACAUUGAUUAGAGGACUCCAACCUCUUAGUCUGCCUAGAACAGGCUGAAAACAUGGUUGUUUGCACAGACCAAGAAGUCCUGGAUUUAUAAUAUGAAGUAUGAGCUUGCUUGAACAUUUCCCACCUAUUGCAAUCUGCCUUUGUCGAGUUUAGCAAAAAGGCACGUGAGUUUUUCUAUGCUUAUUCCAAGUUGUCCACGCUGUUUUACUCAAGGAUAAUUGCUAGCCCCUAGGACCAAAGACUGAUGCAGACAAGCAACACCUGUAACAGUAGAAUGUGACUGAGUCGUACUUUAGAGAGUGGAACAAUGGGCACUGCCCCCUCUUUCCUUAAUUAUGUGGCAUCAUCUUUUCUGGGGAGCCAAUUCUCCAAACGGAUAUGCCUGGAACCUAUGCUUUGCUUCUUUCAGAGCCAGGCAAACUCCUUUUUAUUUCCCCAAUAUUUUAAUACUUAGAUUUUUAUCUUCAUUUUUAUUAUAGUUUUACUUUACCUUUAAGAUGUUUUUACCUGUGGUGGUGGAGGGUAGAUUAUUGUAUUCAUUAAUUGUAUUGCUAUGAUUUUAUCAUGCAUUUUAUAUUAAUUAUUGUAUUUUUAAUUUCUAAAGUGUCCAGGGAGUCUUUGGGCUGAUGGGUGGCAUAGAAAUGUAAUAUACAGGGUGACCAACGGGAGUCGGACAGUUUUGAAAAAAACAGUACUCUGUAGAUUUUCAACUCGAAAUGGAUUUAUUUUUACAAAAACAGAGGGCAAGACAUGCCAUUUGAGUUACUUAUUCUUUUAUUUAUGAAAAAUAAUGUCAUUUAGAUGAUGACCAUCCUCUUGAAAGCAGCUUUCAAUCCAUCGCUUGAAAUAGCUGCUGCGUUGUUGUGAUAGACUCACCACUUUGAACAAAGCUGUCAUAAGCAAACAAAUGAUGUUGUAAUGCCCACUGCUCCACUGGGACGGAAUUAGCAUUCAAGAGGGGGGGGGGGGAGCCUAGCUUGUCCCCCUCCCAUUACCACUUACAGUGUACUACCUGUUCUAAAAACGUCCAACUCCCGUCGGUCACCCUGUGUAAAUAAAUAAGUUGUGCACUGCUGUUUGCAAGCCUGUAAUGCACAUGCAUCUUCCUUCUCACCUUCAUCUGAAUCAGAGCAGUGUGAAUUGAUCAUCACACUUACCUUCAAGAAACUGAUAUUGUAAUUGGGUCCCACAUAGGUGAUCUCCAAAUUGCCAAGCACCACCUCACAGUCUUCAUACAUUCUUCUUAGGAGGUUAUAGUGUUCAUCCACACCUGAGAGCUGCGUGAGCUUGUUGCUGGCUCCUUGGCAAACUGCAGAGGAGAGAAUUAGAACAAGUAGUACAGUAGUCAUACAGGCAACCUUGCAGGAAAAAAUGAAAGAGUUGCAGGUUUGAUCCAGGAAGUGCCUUCUGUUGAUAGAAAGUUUUUGAUCAUGGAAGCUACCGCUGGUCAAUUUUUGGAGAUUCAUCCUCCUUGCUACACCCUCAGUCCAUUCAGUAGGCUUCUCCAUCCCUCUGUGCAGCAUUUCCAGGGGGCUGGAAGGAUUGCAGUGGGAAACUUUAUGUGUGUGCGAGAAAACUCCAAAAACUGAAGUGUGUGUGCAACUGGGCUUCUGCAAAAGAUUGCAGGAUGCCACUCUUUAUGUAUUAAGAGAAGAGACAGAAUUUAAAUAGGAUUGAUAUCAGUAUCAAUAUAUCUCCAACAGUGCUGGGAAUUAGGGUCACAGUUGGCACAGACUCCUGGGCCAUGCCAAGCUGGACUCUGAGAAUGAAGGGAGGAGGAGGAGGGGGCCUGAAAACAGGGGUAACCAGAUUUGGAGAAGAGAGAAGUGAAGGUAACUAUCACAAGGCCACUCUCCCCAAGCACUCCAGCAGGCUCUGAGAAUGACCAAGUUGUACUGCUUGUAUGGGAGAAAAGUUCUCUGAGAUACGUGAAACUGACACAGCUCUUGACCCCAUGACUUGGGAGAGAAGCGCUAGCCAGCUAGAAGAUUGACAUACAGGGAAAAGGCAUGCUUACUCCCAAAUGGGCCCUUUCAAAGGGAUUGGGCCCACGUAUACGCCCAUGGAAGGUUUCUGGAAGUUAUGGUUUAGACUGGGUUCAACAAACUGCUUCUGUGCAUGCUGAGAGAUACAUUCUGUGCUGAUUGAGUUUAUUGGGUAUACUCUGGUGAAUAAACAGCUUUUUGCAAAAA